rnacentral:rRNA from 1 species
AUGGCUCGGGCUCUCCUCAAGCAGAGAGGGAUGCCGGCUGUCUUCUGGGGAGAGGCGGUGCUAACGGCCGUCUACAUCCUCAACCGCUCUCCUACUAAGGCACUCGACGGCAGAACUCCGUACGAGGCCUGGCAUGGGCGGAAGCCGGCGGUCUCUCAUUUGCGGGUCUUUGGCUGCCUUGCGUUCGCCAAGGAGCUCGGCCACAUCGGCAAGCUCGACGACAGGAGCACUCCGGGAGUCUUCAUCGGCUACGCGGAGGGCUCAAAGGCCUACCGCAUCCUCGACCCAAAGACACAACGUGUGCGCACAGCGCGAGACGUCGUGUUCAACGAAGGGCGAGGGUGGCAAUGGGACAAGGCGGUGGACGACGGCUCGACGCCGACGUAUGACGACUUCAUUGUCGAGUACGCUCACUUCAAGGAAGCUGGGGGACCGGCGACGCCGCAUACUCCAGCCCCGGCGGUCGCCACUCCGGGCUCGUCUUCAUCAGCACCAGCUCACGCAGAGCACAACCCGAUGAAGUUCGCUUCCCCGCUCACUCAUGACGAGGAGCGGGUCGACGCAUGGUAUGGAGGCGAACCGCUGCGGUACCGUACGAUGGAUAAUGUGCUCGGCGACCAGCCGGUGCCAGGACUGGUGCCACGUGACCUGGAGGCGCAGCUACAGCUCGUGUGUGAAGACGGCGAACCACGGUCCUUUGCAGAGGCCGAGAGAGACGCGGCAUGGCGCGCCGCGAUGAAGUUGGAGAUGGAUGCGGUCGAGCAAAACCGCACCUGGGAGCUUGCUGAUCUCCCUCGAGGUCACCGCGCAAUCACCCUUAAGUGGGUGUUCAAGCUGAAGAGGGAUGGAGCCGGCGCCAUCAUCAAGCACAAGGCUCGUUUGGUGGCCCGAGGCUUCUUGCAGCAGGAAGGAGUCGACUUCGACGACGCUUUCGCUCCCGUGGCACGGAUGGAGUCCUCGGCAUUCCUCAACGGCGACUUGAAGGAGGAAGUCUACGUGCAUCAGCCACCGGGGUUUACGAUUCCCGGCCAGGAGGGCAAGGUGCUCCGCCUGCGCAAGGCUCUCUAUGGCCUGCGGCAGGCACCCAGGGCGUGGAACGCCAAGCUGGACUCCACGCUGAAGAAGAUGGGUUUCGAGCAGAGCCCGCAUGAGGCUGCCGUCUACCGACGGGGGAGUGGAGGAAAUGCCCUGCUGGUGGGCGUCUACGUUGACGACCUGGUGAUCACCGGCACCAAAGAUGCAGAGGUGGCGGCGUUCAAGGAAGACAUGAAGGCCACGUUCCAGAUGAGUGACCUGGGGCUCCUCUCCUUCUAUCUAGGGAUUGAGGUGCACCAGGACCACUCCGGGAUCGCGCUUCGACAGUCCGCCUACGCCAAGCGCAUCGUUGAGCUAGCUGGGCUCACCGACUGCCAUCCAGCUCUCACUCCGAUGGAGGAGAGGCUGAAACUAAGUCGCGACAACACGACGGAGGAAGUGGAUGCUACGCAGUACCGACGCCUUGUGGGGAGCCUUCGCUACCUCACUCACACACGGCCGGACUUGGCAUUCUCCGUCGGCUAUGUCAGUCGGUGUCCUGGGGCGGCACACUUCGUCGGGUACAGCGACAGCGACCACGCCGGCGACAUCGACACCAGCAAGAGCACGAGCGGGAUCCUCCUCUUCCUCGGCAAGUGUCUCGUGAGCUGGCAAUCAGUCAAGCAGCAGGUGGUGGCCCUGUCCAGCUGUGAGGCUGAGUACAUAGCAGCCUCCACCGCCUGUACUCAGGCGCUCUAG